AUUGAACGCUGGCGGCAUGCCUUACACAUGCAAGUCGAACGGUAACGGGCCUUCGGGUGCCGACGAGUGGCGAACGGGUGAGUAAUGUAUCGGAACGUACCUUUCAGUGGGGGGAUAACGUAGCGAAAGUUACGCUAAUACCGCAUAUUCUGUGAGCAGGAAAGCAGGGGAUCGCAAGACCUUGCGCUGAUUGAGCGGCCGAUAUCAGAUUAGCUAGUUGGUGAGGUAAAGGCUCACCAAGGCGACGAUCUGUAGCGGGUCUGAGAGGAUGAUCCGCCACACUGGAACUGAGACACGGUCCAGACUCCUACGGGAGGCAGCAGUGGGGAAUUUUGGACAAUGGGGGCAACCCUGAUCCAGCCAUGCCGCGUGAGUGAAGAAGGCCUUCGGGUUGUAAAGCUCUUUCGGUCCGGGAAGAAAUCGUAUGGGUUAAUACCCUGUGCGGAUGACGGUACCGGCAUAAGAAGCACCGGCUAACUACGUGCCAGCAGCCGCGGUAA
rnacentral:rRNA from 1 species